rnacentral:rRNA from 1 species
GGAGGCAGCAGUGGGGAAUAUUGCACAAUGGGCGGAAGCCUGAUGCAGCGACGCCGCGUGAGGGAUGACGGCCUUCGGGUUGUAAACCUCUUUCACCAGGGACGAAGCGUAUUUGACGGUACCUGCAGAAGAAGCACCGGCUAACUACGUGCCAGCAGCCGCGGUAAUACGUAGGGUGCGAGCGUUGUCCGGAAUUACUGGGCGUAAAGA